rnacentral:lncRNA from 1 species
UUUUCCUUGUACAGGUCAACUCCACUUAGGUAGAAUGUGAAUAUAUAGUAUGAGAGGAAAAGGAAGACAGCAGGGCACAGUGUUCAUAAGAAAGAGACACAGGAUGCUUUUUAAGAAACUUGGGUGUGAAAGCAAAACAGGCAAUAUUUAGAAAGGAACUUUUGGUCAAUGGGUGGAAAUGGGUUAAAAUAGGAGCCAUUUGCACAUAAUUAUAUUCUAAGGGGAAGGAAGCAAUAGAGAGAGCAAUUGAAAAUGUAAGGAAGAGAGGGAAGAACUGAUGUGGGUGAGGGUGCAUGUUUAGAACACAGGCUGGGAAGAGUCGGCCGCGGGAGUCACACUGCUAAUAAAAGGCAGAGACCAGGGGUUUUUGGACCUGGGUGCAAAUUGUGGUCUUGCCACUUUCUAUCUGAGGGACCUUGUCACCCUGAUGGUGAAAAACAAGCCUGUAACAGAAGAAAGGAAAGACAAGAACUGGGAGGCUGUGAUAAGGGAGCUGCAUAUAUCAGCAGUGCAGCAAGUCUGGCUGUUGACAUGGUUCUUGGUGAGCCCAAGAGAGCUGACUGCUGGAAAAGAGUAGAGGAGAACAUUUUCAGCCUCAGAAAUAUCACUGGCCUCUGAUGGGAGAGAUAAGUGGUCUCAGGGCCUAAUGAGUGCUGGAGAAUUCAUUCAUUCAUUCAGUGAACAUGACUGAGGCCUCUCACUUUGCUAGACAUUUUGGAAGACA